rnacentral:rRNA from 2 species
UACGUAGGGGGCUAGCGUUGUCCGGAAUCAUUGGGCGUAAAGCGCGUGUAGGCGGCCCGGUAAGUCCGCUGUGAAAGUCGGGGGCUCAACCCUCGAACGCCGGUGGAUACUGUCGGGCUCGAGUACGGAAGAGGCGAGUGGAAUUCCUGGUGUAGCGGUGAAAUGCGCAGAUAUCAGGAGGAACACCUAUUGCGAAGGCAGCUCGCUGGGACGUAACUGACGCUGAGACGCGAAAGCGUGGGGAGCAAACAGG